GAAGGCAGCAGAAAGGGACCGAGAAAAGGCCAUUCCUGGACACCCACUCAAUAGGUGUAUUGAGUCUUUGGACAAAAAAUUUCAACUCAGCAACCAAACUGAAUACUGUUUAAAGAGGAAGGAAGGAAGAAUGCUUCAAUGUCUUACGUUCUAACUGGGAAAAGAAGACCCGUGUACAGAAGUUUUGUCCUCCCCCAGGAUCAUAAAUAACCUCCAAAGUAAAAGCACAUCCGUGACUAUUUGGACAACUUGUAGGUAGGUGGUGGAGCAAAAGAAACCUAAACUGAAAGCAAUCUUGCCAUUCAACACAAGAUUCAUGGUAUCCAGGAGCUCGCCUGUUCGUUGCAUCUUCAAGGAGACCCAGCAUGCUAGCAAAGUUGCCUGAUAAAUAUGCCACAUCUCUCUGCACAGGUUCAAACGCAUCCCUGGUCAUGUCAGCAUUUUGAUGCUUCCUGGGGGCCCUUCUCUUUCUCAUUAGCAUUUUCAGAAGGUUAUAUGACUCAAAUCUAUUAAGCAGAUAACCCCCGCCCCCAGCAAGUUGUGAGGGGCUAGAGAGAGAGAAGACAGGGCAAUGAACUUGGAGGAGAUUCACACCCCUGCCCCACAUUCUUCUGGGAACUGGAAAGUCUGUGUCUUUUGCGAUGAAAGAACAGGUUAUGACCCCUUCAGACACUGUCUCUGGAGAGGUAAAGUUCACAAGCUGCAGAGGAGGGGGCACUCAUCCUAAAGGAUCCUUGCUGCUGACUCCAUCUCUGUCCUUGAAGAGACCUUUUUUGCUUCUCUAGACACUUGUAGGCACCCUGGUGAGUUGACCCCAGGGACUCACAUUUCAUUUUGAGACCAGUCCUCUGGCUGUCACAUUCACUUCAACUUAACCCCCUCCUUUCAUGGGAAUGACCUAGAGAUGGCUGCCUGAAGGAGACAGUGUGUCUCUGGUGUUUGGCAGAACAUAUAAUGAUGGUCCCUUCUCAAGAAUAGGGAGGAGAGAUGAUGGUGAAACACAGGCACAGGGGUGCCUCUGUCUAGCUAUUUAGGAGUUGUUGAACUAAAAGACUGAUUUUAGAAAGUGGUAGCUCAGAGCAGAACACAGCUCCCAUGCUGUUUGAGGGAAAGAGAUCAGGAAACAAAAGGUUUUAAGUCAGGAGCAAUUCUGACUUAAUAGAAACUGGUAGCUUCUUUGGACCAACUCGUAAGUGGAUUUGAAGAUAGAGACAGAAUGUUUUUGGAAAUCCUCUUAAAGUAACCCUGGAAGGAGGAUAGCCUGGGCUUGGCUCCUUAAUAGAGGUAUCCAGAAGAAAUUAAGUAAUUUUCAUUCCCUGAUCUGGAUAAGGCUAGAAAGGUAUUGAUUCUCUACAGGCAAAUGCAGAUUCACCAGCAUGAAUUCAUUUGUAUUGUCUGCAAGCAAGUCGUCCUCUUUUAUAUGAAAAAUGAUUUGGAACAGGUUUUAGGAUGAGAAAUCUGGUGCAGUUCAGCGGGAUGGAUUUAGGAGGGAAGAGGUGGUGAGAGGAAGUCGUUAGAAGGCUCUUGUGAUUGAAUAUUAAGAUCAUGGAGCCUGGAAUUGCAAUGGUAGCCCUGGAACUGGAGAAGAAUUUGUUACUGAUCAAAAAGGCCUUGCAGGAAAGUUCUUCAACAAAAAAGAAAAAAAAUGGGCAAAAUGUGGGAAAAAAUACUUGCCACAAAUAUGAUGGACAAAAGUGAAUAUUCUAAACAUUUAAAAAACGUAUGGAGAGGAGAGUUCCCAUCAUGGUGCAGUGGAAACAAAUCCGACUAGGAACCAUGAGGUUGAAGGUUUGUUCCCUGGCCUCAUUCAGUGGGUUAAGGAUCUGGCAUUGCUGUGUGCUAUGGUGCAGGUCACAGAUGCAGCUCAGAUCUGGUGCUGCUGUUGCUCUGGCAUAGGCUGGCAACUGUAGCUCCAAUUAGACCCCUAGCCUGGGAACCUCCAUAUGCUGUGGGUGUGGCCCUGAAAAAAGACAAAAAGACAAAAGACAAAAAAUAAAUAAAAUUUAAAAAUUAAAAAUUAAAAACAUAUGGACAAAAAAACACAGAGAUCCAACAGCCCUAAGGGCAGAGGGAAUGGAUGGGAAAUUCCCAUAGAAAGAAUAUAGAUGAGGUAAUAUACAUGCAGAAAUGUUUAGCCUCACUAGUGGUUAACAAACUAAAAAUUUAAACAGUGAUUUUUUUUUUUUUUAGCAAUCACAUAAUUCAUUUAAAAAUGAUAAUGUUCAUCCAGCACGGUUAAUGUGUUAAUUGGCAUAAUAUUUCUGGAAAGGACUUUGCUGAUAUAACAGAAAAUUUUAAAAUGUUUCCACCCUUUGAUUCACAUUCUACUUUUCAAUGACUAUCCUAAAGAUGUAAGUUAUUAACACAGAUUUACUUGUUUAUCAAGGUGGUUUUUAGAAUAGCAAAAGCAAGGAAGACAGGGAAACAACCAAAUGUCCAAUACCGGGGACGUGUUGAAUAAAUUAUGACAUAUUCUACCAUAUGAUGAACCAUUAAGAAAUUAUUAAAGUUGUAUUUUCUUCACAGUGAAAAUAUCUUUAUAUAACGCUAAUACAUGUUUUUAUGAAACAUAUAGUUAUUUCAUGAUAUGAUCUCAAUUGUUUAUAUAUGUGCAUACAUUAUUCUAUGAAUAUACAUAAAAGGUAUGAUCAAAACAAAA
rnacentral:lncRNA from 1 species